UCCCUGGUGGCCUAGCAGUUAAGGAUUUGGCAUUGUUACUGCUGUGGCUCAGGUUCAAUCCCUGGCCCAGGAA
rfam:Sus scrofa chromosome 15.